ensembl:snoRNA
AAAAGUCCCUCCGACAAAAGUGUCCGACACAAUUUGAGCUUGCUAUAGCAAGAAAGUCUAACCUAUUCUCGUGUUCUCCCUUUGUGGGAUAAGCCAUUAUAUAGACUUUAACACU